rnacentral:rRNA from 1 species
CCUACGGGUGGCAGCAGUCGAGAAUCAUUCACAAUGGGGGAAACCCUGAUGGUGCGACGCCGCGUGGGGGAAUGAAGGUCUUCGGAUUGUAAACCCCUGUCAUGUGGGAGCAAAUUAAAAAGAUAGUACCACAAGAGGAAGAGACGGCUAACUCUGUGCCAGCAGCCGCGGUAAUACAGCGGUCUUAAGCGUUGUUCGGAAUCACUGGGCGUAAAGCGUGCGUAGGCUGUUUCGUAAGUCGUGUGUGAAAGGCGCGGGCUCAACCCGCGGACGGCAGAUGAUACUGCGGGACUAGAGUUGUGGAGGGGGAAGCGGAAUGCGCGGUGUAGCAGUGAAAUGCGUAGAUAUCGCGAGGAACCCUCGUGGCGAAGGCGGGUUCCUGGA